AUACGUAGGGUGCAAGCGUUAAUCGGAAUUACUGGGCGUAAAGCGUGCGCAGGCGGUUUUGUAAGACAGAGGUGAAAUCCCCGGGCUCAACCUGGGAACUGCCUUUGUGACUGCAAGGCUAGAGUACGGCAGAGGGGGAUGGAAUUACGCGUGUAGCAGUGAAAUGCGUAGAUAUGCGGAGGAACACCGAUGGCGAAGGCAAUCCCCUGGGCCUGUACUGACGCUCAUGCACGAAAGCGUGGGGAGCAAACAGGAUUAGAUACCCUGGUAGUCCACGCCCUAAACGAUGUCAACUGGUUGUUGGGUCUUCAUUGACUCAGUAACGAAGCUAACGCGUGAAGUUGACCGCCUGGGGAGUACGGCCGCAGGGUUGAAACUCAAAUGAAUUGACGGGG
rnacentral:rRNA from 1 species